AAUGAACGUUGCGGCGUGGAUUAGGCAUGCAAGUCGUGCGAGAAGUGUUUUUUGCUUGCAUUGAACACGGACAGCGGCGAAAGGGAGAGUAACGCGUGGUUACGUGCCCCGAGGUCCAGGAUAGCGUUGGGAAACUGGCGGUAAUACUGGAUGUUAUCUUCGGAUCAAAGGUGUGAUUCCGCCUUGGGAUCGGACCGCGUACUAUUAGCUUGUUGGUGGGGUAAUGGCCCACCAAGGCUUCGAUGGUUACCGGUGUGAGAGCAUGGCCCGGCUCACUGGGACUGAGACACUGCCCAGACACCUACGGGGGCUGCAGUCGAGAAUCUUCGGCAAUGGACGAAAGUCUGACCGAGCGACGCCGCGUGCGGGAUGAAGGCCCUCGGGUUGUAAACCGCUGUCAGUUGGGAGAAGGGCCUGUGCAGAGCAGGUCUUGACCGAUCUUCAGAGGAAGGACGGGCUAAGUUCGUGCCAGCCAGCCGCGGUAAU
rnacentral:rRNA from 1 species